GUCCCCAUAGUUCAAUGGAUAGAAUAGCUCCCUUCUAAGGAGUAGAUCGAGGUUCGAAUCCUCGUGGGGACGCAA
rnacentral:tRNA from 1 species